GACGAACGCUGGCGGCGUGCUUAACACAUGCAAGUCGAAUGACGUGGCGAACGGGUGAGUAAUAUGUGAGUAACACGCCCUCCUUGUUGGGAUAAGCCUUGGGAAAGGGGUCUAAUACCGGAAAAUGGGGGCUGGGCUCGUGGGCUAUCAGCUUGUUGGGGGGGUGCUGGCACACCAAGGCGGUGACGGGUAGCCGGGCUGAGAAGGUGACCGGCAACUGUGACACUGGCAAACGGCCCAGACGAGUCAGGGGGGCAGCAGUGGGGGCUAUUGGAGAAUGGGCGAAAGCCGCAUGCCGCGAGGACGCGUGGGGGAUGAAGGCUGUCGGGUUGUAAACCUGUGUCGCAAGCGAGCGGGUAGGUGGAGAAGAAGCGCCGGCUAACUACGUGCCAGCAGCCGCGGUAAUUC
rnacentral:rRNA from 1 species